rnacentral:tRNA from 1 species
GAAAGUUUAGUUUAUUUUAAAACAAAUGUUUUGAAAGCAUUUAUAGGGGAGCUCCCCAAUUUUUA